rnacentral:piRNA from 1 species
CUGUUUCUUACUGAAGCGUGAUUAGCCUGU